AAUAUCCUUCAGGGCAGGGUGAAAUUCCCGACCGGCGGUUAUAGUCCGCGAGCCGAUUAGGCAGACUUGGUGUAAUUCCAAGACCGACAGUACAGUCUGGAUGGAAGAAGGAGAAG
rnacentral:ncRNA from 1 species